UUGCUUUGGCAGCAAAUAUACUAAAAUUGGAGUGGUACAGAAAGAUUAGCAUGACCCCUGUGCAGGAUGAAAUGCAAAUUUGUAAACCAUUCCAUAUUUUU
rnacentral:snRNA from 1 species